rnacentral:rRNA from 1 species
CCACCUGUUCCCAUUCCGAACACAGUAGUUAAGCAUUCAGAGGCCGAAAGUACUUGCCUGGAGACGGGCUGGGAGGAUAGGAAGUUGCCGGUA